rnacentral:rRNA from 1 species
UGGGGAAUAUUGCGCAAUGGGGGAAACCCUGACGCAGCCAUGCCGCGUGAAUGAAGAAGGCCUUCGGGUUGUAAAGUUCUUUCGGUAUUGAGGAAGGUUGAUGUGUUAAUAGCACAUCAAAUUGACGUUAAAUACAGAAGAAGCACCGGCUAACUCCGUGCCAGCAGCCGCGGUAAUACGGAGGGUGCGAGCGUUAAUCGGAAUAACUGGGCGUAAAGGGCACGCAGGCGGUUAUUUAAGUGAGGUGUGAAAGCCCCGGGCUUAACCUGGGAAUUGCAUUUCAGACUGGGUAACUAGAGUACUUUAGGGAGGGGUAGAAUUCCACGUGUAGCGGUGAAAUGCGUAGAGAUGUGGAGGAAUACCGAAGGCGAAGGCAGCCCCUUGGGAAUGUACUGACGCUCAUGUGCGAAAGCGUGGGGAGCAAACAGGAUUAGAUACCCUGGUAGUCCACGCUGUAAACGCUGUCGAUUUGGGGGUUGGGGUUUAACUCUGGCGCCCGUAGCUAACGUGAUAAAUUGACCGCCUGGGGAGUACGGCCGCAAGGUUA